AACGAACGCUGGCGGCAUGCCUAACACAUGCAAGUCGAACGAAGCCUUCGGGCUUAGUGGCGCACGGGUGCGUAACGCGUGGGAAUCUGCCCUUGGGUUCGGAAUAACAGUUAGAAAUGACUGCUAAUACCGAAUGAUGUCUUCGGACCAAAGAUUCAUCGCCCAAGGAUGAGCCCGCGUCGGAUUAGCUAGUUGGUGAGGUAAAGGCUCACCAAGGCGACGAUCCGUAGCUGGUCUGAGAGGAUGAUCAGCCACACUGGGACUGAGACACGGCCCAGACUCCUACGGGAGGCAGCAGUGGGGAAUAUUGGACAAUGGGCGAAAGCCUGAUCCAGCAAUGCCGCGUGAGUGAUGAAGGCCUUAGGGUUGUAAAGCUCUUUUACCCGGGAUGAUAAUGACAGUACCGGGAGAAUAAGCCCCGGCUAACUCCGUGCCAGCAGCCGCGGUAAU
rnacentral:rRNA from 1 species